rnacentral:rRNA from 1 species
AGAACGAACGCUGGCGGCAUGCCUAAUACAUGCAAGUCGAACGAACUCUUCGGAGUUAGUGGCGCACGGGUGCGUAACGCGUGGGAAUCUGCCCUUGGGUUCGGAAUAACAGUUAGAAAUGACUGCUAAUACCGGAUGAUGACGUAAGUCCAAAGAUUUAUCGCCCAGGGAUGAGCCCGCGUAGGAUUAGCUAGUUGGUGGGGUAAAGCCUA